rnacentral:rRNA from 1 species
UACAGAGGGGGCGAGCGUUGUUCGGAAUUACUGGGCGUAAAGGGCGCGUAGGCGGCCCGCUAAGUCGAACGUGAAAUCCCCAGGCUCAACCUGGGAACUGCGUCCGAUACUGGCAGGCUUGAAUUCGGGAGAGGGAUGCAGAAUUCCAGGUGUAGCGGUGAAAUGCGUAGAUAUCUGGAGGAAUACCGGUGGCGAAGGCGGCAUCCUGGACCGAGAUUGACGCUGAUGAGCGAAAGCUAGGGGAGCAAACGGG